rnacentral:misc_RNA from 1 species
AAGUCGUAACAAGGUUUCCGUAGGUGAACCUGCGGAAGGAUCAUUAACACGUAUCCAAACGUUAAAACCCCCCCCGUGAACCUUCAUCCUGCUCUUGUAACCCGCGUAGUUCGCAAUCUCUGAUAAAUCAUAGCCCGGAAAGUUGUAGUGAUUCAGAGACCUCUGGCUACGUGCGAACAUUGGAACAGUUACAAUCGAGCGGUAGUUCUAUAGGCAAUGUUUCCCCAAGCAGUCAGUGUCGGAAAGUGUCAUUGAUUGUGCAAGGAUAGCGCUUCUACGAUUCCUGUAGACCGCACACUCGGGCAGGAGCUUUGCCAAAUUUACAAAAACCGAACAACUGUUAACAAUGGAUAUCUUGGUUCUC